rnacentral:tRNA from 1 species
AUAUAAGAAAUGAUUAAUCAUAUAUGAUUUCGGCUCAUACUUAGGUGUAUAUACACCCUUAUAUU